CCUACGGGAGGCAGCAGUGAGGAAUAUUGGUCAAUGGGCGUAAGCCUGAACCAGCCAAGUCGCGUGAGGGAUGAAGGUUCUAUGGAUCGUAAACCUCUUUUAUAAGGGAAUAAAGUGCGGGACGUGUCCCGUUUUGUAUGUACCUUAUGAAUAAGGAUCGGCUAACUCCGUGCCAGCAGCCGCGGUAAUACGGAGGAUCCGAGCGUUAUCCGGAUUUAUUGGGUUUAAAGGGUGCGUAGGCGGCCUUUUAAGUCAGCGGGGAAAGUCUGUGGCUCUACCAUAGAAUUGCCGUUGAAACUGGGAGGCUUGAGUAUGUUUGAGGCAGGCGGAAUGCGUGGUGUAGCGGUGAAAUGCUUAGAUAUCACGCAGAACCCCGAUUGCGAAGGCAGCCUGCCAAGCCAUGACUGACGCUGAUGCACGAAAGCGUGGGGAUCAAACAGGAUUAGAUACCCUGGUAGUC
rnacentral:rRNA from 1 species